UACAGAGGUGGCAAGCGUUGUUCGGAAUUACUGGGCGUAAAGGGCGCGUAGGCGGCCUUCUAAGUCAGACGUGAAAUCCCCCGGCUUAACCUGGGAACUGCGUCCUGAUACUGGGAGGCUAGAGUAUGGGAGAGGGAUGUAGAAUUCCAGGUGUAGCGGUGAAAUGCGUAGAGAUGACGGAGGAACACCGAUGGCGAAGGCAGCCCCCUGGGCUGACACUGACGCCUCAGGCACGAAAGCGUGGGGAGCAAACAGG
rnacentral:rRNA from 1 species